rnacentral:rRNA from 1 species
UACGUAGGGCGCAAGCGUUGUCCGGAAUUAUUGGGCGUAAAGAGCUCGUAGGCGGCCUGUUGCGUCCGCUGUGAAAUCCCGGGGCUUAACCCCGGGCGUGCAGUGGAUACGGGCUGGCUGGAGGCAGGCAGGGGAGAACGGAAUUCCCGGUGUAGCGGUGAAAUGCGCAGAUAUCGGGAGGAACACCUGUGGCGAAAGCGGCUCACUGGACCAUAACUGACGCUGAUGCACGAAAGCUGGGGGAGCAAACAGG